UCUAUCACGAGCAGCUAAUGUCACUAUAGAUAACUUUCAUCAAUAUUCAGAGAAAGUUCUGGGCUUUAGCACUAUUUAAAGGUCAUUAUGGCCUCCAACAUAAGUUCUUUUAUUUUGAAGAAAUUUCUCAUCUAAGCUCUACCACAGUAUGCAAGUCUGCAUCAUGCACCUCAAGAUGAUUUUGGUGGCAGCAAUUCCACCAGCUGGAAUGACUGGGUAACUCUUCCUCAACAGCAGGAUACGUUACCCACAAGUUCCUUCUGAACUUUUUUUUUUUCUUUUCUUUUCUGGGAAGAAAAAGGAAUUGGAUAUUCUCCAACAACUGUCAUUUGCAAACAGCUGUUUACAUCCCAAAGCCCUCGUAGUAGAAUCAAUAUGUGAAAAGGGAAAUGGAUUUUGGAAAGCAGUCCAUGAACUCUGUGCUACAGCCAACUAUUGCUGUGAAAAGUAACCAGUAAUGCUGAAGCCUGCUGCAUUCAGCUGUGUCUGAGGGUCCAACAGAAAUAUAAAUCACUUAAUGGAUUAAGAGGAUCAUUUUUCCUUCACCUCAUAAGCUUUGCAGAGUGUGUCUUUUUUCUCUGUUAGCACAGUGCCCAGUGGAGACUGGGGCCUCUGUGUGUUACUUUAACAAAUAUUUAUUUGCUCAUUUGGAGGCGUACAUAAGACGUAAUACCUAAGAGACAUGACUGAGAAACAGGGAAGAGAUGCUACAAAAAUGAAACAAUUUUUUUUUAAGGAGUGGUAACUUUCUAGGCCUUUUGGACACUCACCUCUACAGCAAGCAAGCCAGACUGCCAAGAUGCUUGUUAGUAAGACAACUGCUCACAGCUGGACCUUGCAGUACAAACUGAGAAGGCAGCACUGGACCAGACCUCCACUUCUCCUGAUGGCUUAUUCAGUUCUUUUCACUGCUAAGGCUCAGGAAGGAACGUCUUGUUAUCAGCAUCUUUCUCAGACCAGAACUGGAAUUUUUGCAGAAACAUCAGUAAACAAGCUUUGCUGACCACAUCUGUGUUUCUGUGAACCAGCAGGCUCUGGAAGAGCUUAAGCAGAAAGCUGUGCAUCUCCUGCCUGCUUCCCCUCACCAUGACUGCCCUGCAUGCAGCAGAGGGCUGCUGCAGCCUGCCUGUCUGGAUGGGCUGGGCAGCAUGUCACCCACCAGGCAGGCUUACUAUUUGCCUGGAAAAAUCAUCCCACACUGAGGGCAGCCUCAGGACCACUCCUGGCAGCCAUUAGUUCUCACGGUGACUUGUGCUCUGCUAAAUAAAUGGAGACUUUUGCACGGAGUAGUCCUCCUGAAGACAAGACUGGCAACAACGGGACAAGGAGCAGAGGCACAGAGACUGAAGGGAACGAGAAGCUCACCUGUGGAUGCUUUGUUGGGCAGAAUGAAUGGAAGGGGAAGUGUGUAGACAAUCCCACAAGCCAUGAGGGAGAGAGACAGCCAGGCUCCUGCUAGGCUGGGAGAAGAGGAACACACUGUGGUUCCCAACAUGUGAAUAAAGCUCCUCGGUGAGGAAGCAGAGUUACUGGAAACCUGCCUGCCCUCACCUUCAGCACAGAAAGGCCCUUGUGGGAAGGCGCACAUGCAUGGCAAUGCAAGAGCCGCUCACUCAAGUUCCCUGUGAGAUGUGGCCGAGGAAGCGAUUUAUUUCCAGCUCCCCUUCAAGAUGAAAUAUGGCUUGCACUACCACGGCCUAGGUUGUAGUUAUUCUGUAAAUAAAGAUUUUCUGUCUUCCACGUGGCCACUUUUGCCCUGAAGUCACUCUUUAAAGUAAGCCUCAGAAACAGAGGCAGGUGAGCACAGCCGAGAGCCCGGACAGCAGGUACCCAUUAGCGCUAAACACUCGGUGUGAGAGAAACUUUCUUCCGUAUUUCACCUUCUAACACGCAGGAGGUUGUGCUGGUGACAGGGCAGCAGAGCUGUCCUGUAUCUCCGAUGCUUUACUUCUGCUCGGUGAAGGCACGGAGGAGGCAGACUUUGCUGCAAAGCCUUUCUGCUCCCUCUGUGCUCGGUGCACGCACUGCGGCCUCGGGAAGCCUCCGCACCACAGUUCCACAAGAACACAGAGUCACCCAGCUCUUUUCUUUCUUUAUUUUUUUAUUGAAAGCUUCAUCAAAGAAAACAGAAGUUUAAACCUAACAUCCACUGAUCUACAGAAAGCCCCAGGAGUGGGAAAAUGGCAGCUAUUAGGAUUGUGGUACAAAUGGAAAACAUCAAAAAAAAAAAAAA